UGUGUGUAGUUUAAAAAAAAUACCAAGCUGUGACCUUGACAAUAGGAUA
rnacentral:tRNA from 1 species